rnacentral:rRNA from 1 species
AGAGUUUGAUUCUGGCUCAGAGCGAACGCUGGCGGCAGGCUUAACACAUGCAAGUCGAACGGGCGCAGCAAUGCGUCAGUGGCAGACGGGUGAGUAACGCGUGGGAACGUGCCCUUCGGUUCGGAACAACCCAGGGAAACUUGGGCUAGUACCGGAUACGCCCUUACGGGGAAAGAUUUAUCGCCGAAGGAUCGGCCCGCGUCUGAUUAGCUUGUUGGUGAGGUAACGGCUCACCAAGGCGACGAUCAGUAGCUGGUCUGAGAGGAUGAUCAGCCACACUGGGACUGAGACACGGCCCAGACUCCUACGGGAGGCAGCAGUGGGGAAUAUUGGACAAUGGGCGCAAGCCUGAUCCAGCCAUGCCGCGUGGGUGAUGAAGGCCCUAGGGUUGUAAAGCCCUUUCGGCGGGGAAGAUAAUGACGGUACCCGCAGAAGAAGCCCCGGCUAACUUCGUGCCAGCCGCCGCGGUAA